ensembl:lncRNA EPIC1 epigenetically induced MYC interacting lncRNA 1
AGAAACGCCCUCACAGACACCCCGGAAGUCACGUACCCACUCUGUAGGUGCCCCGGGGCACAGGCAAGCGGACGAGCCAGUUAUCCCUCAGAGCUCCUGCUGCCUCGCCCGCUUUCUCUCGGAAACGUGAAGUGUGGCCUCAGCUGAAAGUGAGGUGGGCCUCAUUCAAUCAGUUGAAUUCUUCAAGAGAGAAAAACUGAAGUCCCUUAGAAGGAAAGAGUUCUGCCUUCAGACUGUCUUUGAACUUAAGACUGUAGCGUCGACUCCUGCCGGAAUUUCCAGCCUGCUGGCCAGCUCUGCAGAUUCACACUUGCCAGCCUCCACAAUCGACACAGCAGGAAGGCAGCCAUCUGUGAGCCAGAAAGUGAGCCCUCACCUGAUGGCCAAGCCUGCUGAUGCUUUGGUUUUGGACUUUCCAGCCUCCAGAAUGGCAGCUGAGGCGGAGGAACCCUAAGGGCUCAUUGAGAUCAUGGAUUUGCCCUUCUAUGCAUUGAUGGAGCACCUGCUGCCCACAGCGUCUGUAUUUGGUGCUGGGAUGCUGAGGACACUGAGAUCUUCAAACAGAGGCUGCCACUCUAAGCAAACAGAUCCCGAGCCCUGGACUCUGAAGCUUGGGCCCAGUUCUCCUUUUCUCCGGGUUUCAGAUCCCACUGUGAAGUGAGGGGGCCCUUCUGAUUCAGGACCCGGGGAAGCCAGGGGCAUGAGCAUCGGUGCCUCUUCUCUAUUUCAAGGACCCUUCUGGGUGUAAAGUUCUCUGAGAUGCCUUACAUGGAUUCCCACCACUGCAAGAUAACCAUCGUAUGUAAAGUGUUAUGACCAGCAGAGCGUAAUUGAAGUGCAUUCCAGAGGGAAAGACAGCGGCUCAGAUAAUCAUAGAGCACCAACUCUAUCUGCACCAUGGAUUUUGCAAGCUCCUGGGAAUGCAGAAGAGAACAUUACAGAUGGCUUUGCUGGCUUUGUGGGAUUCAAAAAUAGCCAUCAAAACAAGUCUGAAGCAACUCACACAACUAAUUUUAAUGGUGGCCACUGCCAGGGUAACCAGUUCAUUGAAGAAAUGACUCUCGGCAGGGAUCAGAACACAAC